rnacentral:rRNA from 1 species
AUGCAACUUUCACCGACACCGGUUCCAGCACACAGGGGGCACCCAAGUCGCGUCACCGACUGCCUCCCGGCAGAUUGCACCUCACCGCCCCCAAGGAAUUCGCCUUGGAGAUGGGUGGAAAGGGCUUUGAGUAGGUCUGCUCGUUGGGCGGAGGCUGCCAACGGGCAGUGGUCAGGCCGGGAUUGGAACAGAAUUUCAGAGAACGGCGGAGGCGCGGAUGCGAGGAGCGGAGCAACGAGUGUUGAGACAGAGCACUGCUACAUAGACGACACCUUGGCAACCGAUCUUCGUUCAGAGAUCGGCCGCCCAUAUCACCUCACGAACGGCUCCAGCAAAGCCACCAUCGCUGGGAUGCAACUUUCACCGACGCCGGUUCCAGCACACAGGGGGCACGCAAGUCGCGUCACCGACUGCCUCCCGGCAGAUUGCACCUCACCGCCCCCAAGGAAUUCGCCUUGGAGAUGGGUGGAAAGGGCUUUGAGUAGGUCUGCUCGUUGGGCGGAGGCUGCCAACGGGCAGUGGUCGGGCCGGGAUUGGAACAGACUUUCAGAGAACGGCGGAGGCGCGGAUGCGAGGAGCGGACCAACGAGUGUUGAGACAGAGCACUGCUACAUAGACGACACCUUGGCAACCGAUGUAUGCACGACACAUGUUGACAGCCGUCCAUCACUUUGGUUGCAUGGGUUGGUACCAUCGAUCGCAGCUUCGUUCAGAGAUCGGCCGCCCAUUGUGCAGCCAAUGCAGCAUCCGGGGCCAAGUGGAGAAGAGAUAACGGCUGCCGCUCUUGGACUCAUCCGAGGCCAGUGCAAGACAAAGGCUGCUGACGUCUGGACACUCCAGUACAACACUUCUCACGCACGCACGCACGCGGUGGCGCUCCUCACCCAACACGCGCCGCCCGGCCGCAGAGAAGAAGAAAGUACCAGUUCACUCAUUGUCAAGCCAAGCCUCGAUCCCCAGUUCCCCAGCCAACACUCGCCGCCCGGCUGCGCGAUGGGAGAUCCAGACGAACACGAACGUCAAGCCGUAGCCGCCGGGGAGCUUAUCUCUGCCUGCAACCCUCCUCCCACCGAGGGUAACGCCGUCGUCGGCGUGGCAAACCUGCCGCCUCCUGGAUUCCUCGCGGCCCUCCCACACGCCGGCCUGAACACCAGGGCCGUCGGCCUGGUCGAUCCCGCCAGGCAGGAGCCCAGGGGCCGCGCGCUCGGCCGGGGAGACAAGCGCCGCUCCGUCCAGGGUCUCGUCAACGAGAUCGACCACAAUUUGCCGGCCGGAGAAGCCCCGGAGGAGGGCGAGGGCAGCGCGGUGGAAGCCCCGCAGGAGACGCCCACGCAGAGGAAGCGCACGCAUCGAUCUGCCAUCAGGAGGAGGAAGCACAGUGGGUCCUCGACCAUGGCCAACCUGUACGACGAUGGCCAGAACAAGGAUGAAAGCACCGGGUUGGGGCUCUCCGCGAAGCGGAAGAGGAAGAGGAGCAAGUACCUCUUGCUGCCAUACACCAA